AGUGAACGCUGGCGGUAGGCCUAACACAUGCAAGUCGAACGGCAGCACAGUAAGAUCUUGCUCUUACGGGUGGCGGGUGGCGGACGGGUGAGGUAUACAUCGUAAUCUACUUUUUCGUGGGGGAUUACGUAGGGAUACUUACGCUAAUACCGCAUACGACCUACCGUUGAAAGCAGUUGAUCUUCGGACCUUGCGCGAUUCAAUGAGCCGAUGUCGGAUUAUCUAGUUGGCGGGGUAAAGGCCCACCAAGGCGACGAUCCGUAGCUGGUCUGAGAGGAUGAUCAGCCACACUGGAACGGAGACACGGUCCAGACUCCUACGGGAGGCAGCAGUGGGGAAUAUUGGACAAUGGGCGAAAGCCGGACGCAGAAAUACCGCGUGGGUGAAGAAGGCCUUCGGGUUGUAAAGCCCUUUUGUUGGGAAAGAAAAGCAGCAGAUUAAUACCUCGACGUUCUGACGGUACCUAAAGAAUAAGCAACGGCUAACUUCGUG
rnacentral:rRNA from 1 species